UACAGAGGGUGCAAGCGUUGUUCGGAAUUAUUGGGCGUAAAGCGCGUGUAGGCGGCUUUGCAAGUCGGGUGUGAAAGCCCUCAGCUCAACUGAGGAAGUGCGCCCGAAACUGCAGAGCUUGAGUACCGGAGAGGGUGGCGGAAUUCCCCAAGUAGAGGUGAAAUGCGCAGAUAUCAGGAGGAACACCGAUGGCGAAGGCAGCCCCCUGGGCUGAGAUUGACGCUCAGGCACGAAAGCGUGGGGAGCAAACAGG
rnacentral:rRNA from 1 species